rnacentral:rRNA from 1 species
AUACGGAGGGUGCGAGCGUUAAUCGGAAUUACUGGGCGUAAAGCGUGCGUAGGCGGUUUGCUAAGUCAGAUGUGAAAGCCCCGGGCUUAACCUGGGAACUGCAUUUGAUACUGGCAGACUAGAGGAUGAUAGAGGGGGGUAGAAUUCCUGGUGUAGCGGUGAAAUGCGUAGAUAUCAGGAGGAAUACCAGUGGCGAAGGCGGCCCCCUGGAUCAAUACUGACGCUGAGGUACGAAAGCGUGGGGAGCGAACAGGAUUAGAAACCCUAGUAGUCC